GGGAGGACCGUGGAAUAUCCCCCCCCCCCACCCACUUGCUGAAGAAAAAGAAAAUGAGCAGCGCAGAAGGCUGCAAUCAAAGGUCACCAACAGUGACUGGAUAAUCCUCGAUACUCAUCUGUUAAAGGGAGAAAUUGAAGGAAAGAGAGCGGGUAUUGCGUAAGCGAAAAGAACAAGAAGAACAAGAGUGCGUUCUAAAGCUCUCAGAAAGGAAGCUAUCAAGCAUUACUUGUAGAAACAAUUAAAGAUCCACAGGCUAUGGUAAAUUCACCAGGUUCUUCAUCUCUUCCUAGUCCUCCUGUUCCUGCUAGUUCUGGUCUGGUCCUUCAUUUUCAUACAACAUUCCGCAAGCCGAUAUUGUUUCAUUUCAGUCGACAAUGGUGGCUGACUCAGCAAAGUCUGAAGCGCCAAAAAAUGUCUCAACUUCUGC